rnacentral:misc_RNA from 1 species
GCAUUGGUGACAGUAAGCU